rnacentral:rRNA from 1 species
UACAGAGGGGGCAAGCGUUGUUCGGAAUUAUUGGGCGUAAAGGGCUCGUAGGCGGUUUGUCGCGUCGGGAGUGAAAACCCAGGGCUUAACUCUGGGUUGGCUUUCGAUACGGGCAGGCUAGAGUUCGGUAGGGGAGACUGGAAUUCCUGGUGUAGCGGUGAAAUGCGCAGAUAUCAGGAGGAACACCGGUGGCGAAGGCGGGUCUCUGGGCCGAUACUGACGCUGAGGAGCGAAAGCGUGGGGAGCGAACAGG